GCCAUCAGUUCGGCUGGCACUCUAUGGAGACUGCCACCUAAGUGGAGGAAGGUGGGGAUGACGUCAAGUCAGCAUGGCCCUUACUCCGGGGCUACACACGUGCUACAAUGGCCGGUACAAAGGGUUGCGAAGCCGUGAGGUGGAGCGAAUCUCAAAAAGCCGGCCUCAGUUCGGAUUGGAGGCUGCAACUCGCCUCCAUGAAGUCGGAAUCGCUAGUAACCGCAGAUCAGCUACGUUGCGGUGAAUACGUUCCCGGGCCUU
rnacentral:rRNA from 1 species